GACGAACGCUGGCGGCGUGCCUAAUGCAUGCAAGUUGAGCGCUGAAGGUUGGUACUUGUACCAACUGGAUGAGCAGCGAACGGGUGAGUAACGCGUGGGGAAUCUGCCUUUGAGCGGGGGACAACAUUUGGAAACGAAUGCUAAUACCGCAUAAAAACUUUAAACACAAGUUUUAAGUUUGAAAGAUGCAAUUGCAUCACUCAAAGAUGAUCCCGCGUUGUAUUAGCUAGUUGGUGAGGUAAAGGCUCACCAAGGCGAUGAUACAUAGCCGACCUGAGAGGGUGAUCAGCAACAUUGGGACUGAGACACGGCCCAAUCUCCUACGGGAGGCAGCAGAAGGGAAUCUUCGGCAAUGGACGAAAGUCUGACCGAGCAACGCCGCGAGAGUGAAGAAGGUUUUCGGAUCGUAAAACUCUGUUGGUAGAGAAGAACGUUGGUGAGAGUGGAAAGCUCAUCAAGUGACGGUAACUACCCAGAAAGGGACGGCUAACUACGUG
rnacentral:rRNA from 1 species